rnacentral:rRNA from 1 species
GAGUUUGAUCAUGGCUCAGAGUGAACGCUGGCGGCGUGCCUAAUACAUGCAAGUCGAACGGAGAUUAAGUAGCUUGCUAUUUAAUCUUAGUGGCGCACGGGUGAGUAAUAUAUAGCUAAUCUGCCCUACACUAAAGGACAACAGUUGGAAACGACUGCUAAUACUCUAUACUCCUUCUUUACAUAAGUUAAGUCGGGAAAGUUUUUCGGUGUAGAAUGAGGCUAUAUCGUAUCAGCUAGUUGGUAGGGUAACGGCCUACCAAGGCUAUGACGCGUAACUGGUCUGAGAGGAUGAUCAGUCACACUGGAACUGAGACACGGUCCAGACUCCUACGGGAGGCAGCAGUAGGGAAUAUUGCUCAAUGGGGGAAACCCUGAAGCAGCAACGCCGCGUGGAGGAUGACACUUUUCGGAGCGUAAACUCCUUUUCUUGGGAAAGAAUUAUGACGGUACCCAAGGAAUAAGCACCGGCUAACUCCGUGCCAGCAGCCGCGGUAAUACGGAGGGUGCAAGCGUUACUCGGAAUCACUGGGCGUAAAGGACGCGUAGGCGGAUUAUCAAGUCUCUUGUGAAAUCUAACGGCUUAACCGUUAAACUGCUUGGGAAACUGAUAAUCUAGAGUAAGGGAGAGGCAGAUGGAAUUCUUGGUGUAGGGGUAAAAUCCGUAGAGAUCAAGAAGAAUACCCAUUGCGAAAGCGAUCUGCUGGAACUUAACUGACGCUAAUGCGUGAAAGCGUGGGGAGCAAACAGGAUUAGAUACCCUGGUAGUCCACGCCCUAAACGAUGUAUACUAGUUGUUGCUUCGCUAGUCGAGGCAGUAAUGCACCUAACGGAUUAAGUAUACCGCCUGGGGAGUACGGUCGCAAGAUUAAAACUCAAAGGAAUAGACGGGGACCCGCACAAGCGGUGGAGCAUGUGGUUUAAUUCGAAGAUACGCGAAGAACCUUACCCGGACUUGAUAUCUAACAAAUCAUCCAGAGAUGGAAGAGUGUCUGCUUGCAGAAAUGUUAAGACAGGUGCUGCACGGCUGUCGUCAGCUCGUGUCGUGAGAUGUUGGGUUAAGUCCCGCAACGAGCGCAACCCACGUCAUUAGUUGCUAACGGUUCGGCCGAGCACUCUAAUGAGACUGCCUUCGUAAGGAGGAGGAAGGUGUGGACGACGUCAAGUCAUCAUGGCCCUUAUGUCCGGGGCGACACACGUGCUACAAUGGCGUAUACAAUAAGACGCAAUAUCGCGAGAUGGAGCAAAUCUAUAAAAUACGUCCCAGUUCGGAUUGGAGUCUGCAACUCGACUCCAUGAAGCCGGAAUCGCUAGUAAUCGUAGAUCAGCCAUGCUACGGUGAAUACGUUCCCGGGUCUUGUACACACCGCCCGUCA